CUUUUAAAGGAUAAAAGUAAUCCAAUGGUUUUAGGCACCAUUCCCCC
rnacentral:tRNA from 1 species